rnacentral:rRNA from 1 species
AACGAACGCUGGCGGCGUGCUUAACACAUGCAAGUCGAACGCGAAAGUUUUCUUCGGAAAGCGAGUAGAGUGGCGCACGGGUGAGUAACGCGUAAAUAAUCUACCCUGAUGUCUGGGAUAACCCUUCGAAAGGGGGACUAAUACCGGAUAUAUGCUACCCUUUAGGGGGUAUCAGGAAAGGUGGCCUCUGAUUUAAGCUAUCACAUUGGGAUGAGUUUGCGUACCAUUAGCUAGUUGGCAGGGUAAUGGCCUACCAAGGCAACGAUGGUUAGCGGGUCUGAGAGGAUGAUCCGUCACACUGGCACUGGAACACGGGCCAGACUCCUACGGGAGGCAGCAGUGAGGAAUAUUGCGCAAUGGGGGAAACCCUGACGCAGCGACGCCGCGUGAGUGAGGAGGGCCUUCGGGUCGUAAAGCUCUGUCAGAAGGGAAGAAAUGUGUAUAGGUUAAUACCCUAUGCAUUUGACGGUACCUUCAAAGGAAGCACCGGCUAACUCCGUG